rnacentral:rRNA from 1 species
ACAAGCGGUGGAGUAUGUGGUUAAUUCGAUGCAACGCGAAGAACCUUACCUGGUCUUGACAUCCCGGAGACCCUUAGGAAACUAGGGGGUGCUUCCAUCUGGAAGAAUCUGGAGACAGGUGCUGCAUGGCUGUCGUCAGCUCGUGUCGUGAGAUGUUGGGUUAAGUCCCGCAACGAGCGCAACCCUUGCCUUUAGUUGCCAGCAGUUCGGCUGGGCACUCUAAAGGGACUGCCGGUGUUAAACCGGAGGAAGGUGGGGAUGACGUCAAGUCCUCAUGGCCUUUAUGACCAGGGCUGCACACGUACUACAAUGGCCGAUACAAAGGGCAGCGACACUGCGAGGUGAAGCCAAUCCCGUAAAAUCGGUCUCAGUCCGGAUUGGAGUCUGCAACUCGACUCCAUGAAGUUGGAAUCGCUAGUAAUCGUGGAUCAGCAUGCCACGGUGAAUACGUUCCCGGGCCUU